CGGAUUUUCUAAACUCCUUGAUACCUAUGUACCCAGUGCUCUUUCUGAAUAUUAUAGACAGUGUCUAACUGAUCUUCUGUCUUUCAGAACCAUUCCCCUUUAUCUUCUGUAACUAUACUGAGGAGCUGGAACUGGACUCAUAGCCUGUACUGGGCCAUGACAUUUUGGUUGAAAAGAGAGGUGACAAAGGAAAUCUGAGGCAGUUUAUAAAUCAGCUCAGUGUAACCCUACUUGCAGUCGUUUUCCCUGAAAGAAACUGGAUGCUGCAUACACAGCCCAGGCAACAAUUUCUUCAGAGGAGUCCUCUUUCCUCACAGGCCACAAAUCAUCCACCUCCAAGGGCUGCUGACAGCCUUUCCAGACCAGCCUGGGAAACACACAGACUGCUGUAAGAGAACCACCAAUAUGUGAUUUUGGAAAGAAAAGACGUGCUGGCUUCUGGACACUGAUUCUGACGGGAGGAAAAACACAGGAUUGUUGACAGCUUUAGAGAAGAAGGGAGGAUGAUCAACUAAGCAAAAUAGCACAAGUUCUCCUAGCACCAGGCUAGCAUAAAGGGCAUGUUGGACUUUGGAACUAAACAUCACAAAUGCAGCCAAAAAUGAGAGCAGCCAGUAAAUCAACAGGAUGCCUGAAGACUGGAUGCCCCUCAUUCUUUCCACCUGGCUUGUGGAGAUGAUUUGAGCCCUUUAUGUGGAGGACAUGAUGCAAAGCAAGGCUAUGGCAGAGGAAUCACUUGAUCAAGAAAGGAAGCGGAUAAUGGCUCACAAAUUAUUAUGGGAGUUUAUGGACCUUGGAGAUGGAAAUCCAUGCGAGUCUGGACUGACCAACUCAUUAGAGCCCUUUCAGAGGUACUUCUGUAGUGGGGUCAUUCAGCAGCUACUUUCUGAAGACAAUAAAGGGACUAACUUCAAUAACCUUCCACCAGCUGCUGCACACGCCUAUACAACGCUCAUCAGAUUUACUGUUAACUGCAUAAAGACUUGGGCUGUUCUCUCUUUGGGUGAAAACUUAUCCCUGGAAAGCCAA